GUUAUGUUGUGAUGUGAUAUGUGACGGGGAUACGGAGAUUUGAAACUUUCUGGUGUUAUGCUGUGUUAUGGCGCCAUCGACGGGUGGGCGACCAUAUUCUUCUGUACCCUAUGCAUUACUUACAUAUUUUUGAAAGUACAGAUGCACAGUUUGGUGAUCUACCCAUUUAGGACACCCUCUUCUGCUGUUUGGAGUGCUCUUCUCAUUUCAGAGCACACAUUUUGGUAUAUAUUCGUUCGCUAUGUAUAUAUGUAUUUGUUCAGGGGCACGGCGGGGCCCUGUCCCGCCAUAUGAUUCGGUUUGUCUGUUUAGAGGUCUGUAGACGUAUUUGUGGGUAUGUGUGCCUACUUCUGUACGGAUGUGUUUGCAUGACUCUAUUCGUUAUGGCAGCCUCGUCGGCGUGCAUUUUGUAUAUGUUUGUGGCAGCCUUGUCGGCGUGCAUUUGUAUAUGCGUUUUGGGCCGUUGUGCCAUUUGACAGCCUUGUCGGCUUUUGACAUAA